rnacentral:rRNA from 1 species
CGGGGAUUGCCUUAGUAACGGCGAGUGAAGCGGCAAAAGCUCAAAUUUGAAAUCUGGUACCUUCGGUGCCCGAGUUGUAAUUUGGAGAGGGCAACUUUGGGGCCGUUCCUUGUCUAUGUUCCUUGGAACAGGACGUCAUAGAGGGUGAGAAUCCCGUGUGGCGAGGAGUGCGGUUCUUUGUAAAGUGCCUUCGAAGAGUCGAGUUGUUUGGGAAUGCAGCUCUAAGUGGGUGGUAAAUUCCAUCUAAAGCUAAAUAUUGGCGAGAGACCGAUAGCGAACAAGUACAGUGAUGGAAAGAUGAAAAGAACUUUGAAAAGAGAGUGAAAAAGUACGUGAAAUUGUUGAAAGGGAAGGGCAUUUGAUCAGACAUGGUGUUUUGUGCCCUCUGCUCCUUGUGGGUAGGGGAAUCUCGCAUUUCACUGGGCCAGCAUCAGUUUUGGUGGCAGGAUAAAUCCAUAGGAAUGUAGCUUGCCUCGGUAAGUAUUAUAGCCUGUGGGAAUACUGCCAGCUGGGACUGAGGACUGCGACGUAAGUCAAGGAUGCUGGCAUAAUGGUUAUAUGCCGCCCGUCUUGAACCAGCAGCGACAAAAAA